AACGAACGCUGGCGGCAGGCUUAACACAUGCAAGUCGAACGCGUGCAGCAAUGCACGAGUGGCUCACGGGUGGGUAACGAGUGGAUAUCUGCCUUUUGGUUCGGAAUAACCCCGGGAAACUGGUGCUAAUACCGGAUGGUUCCUACGGGUUAAAGAUCUAUCUCCAAAAGAUGAGUGCGCGUCCGAUUAGCUGGUUGGUUAGGUAAUGGCUCACCAAGGCGACGAUGGGUAGCUGGUCUGAGAGGACGAUCAGCGACACUGGGGCUGAGACACGGACCAGAAUCCUACGGAAGGGAGCAGAGGGGAACAUAGGAAAAUGGAGGCAGCGCUGAACAAGCCAGGCUGGGUAAGUGAUGAAGGCCGUCGGGAAGUAAAGUGCUUUUGGCGGGGACGAUGAUGACGGUACCCGCUGAAUAAGCCCCGGCUAACUACGUG
rnacentral:rRNA from 1 species